rnacentral:lncRNA from 1 species
UGAAAUCUGACGAUGUAAUAAUCUUUACCAUAAGUAGCAAGGACAAAGUCAACAUAACUACCCAAUGGGCUCCAAGGAAUAAACUGAACGCUAAAGUUAAUCAUGGCUUUGAUUCUGUCUGGCCUGAACAAAGCAAAGUACCAGGCCGUGUAUGCACCAAGAUCAUGGCCCACCACAAACACCUUCUCCCCCGGUGCGAUGGCAUCCAGCAGCGCCACCACAUCACCCACAAUGUGCAUGACCGAGGACUUGGAUGGGUCGUCGUUGUUUGCACCGGUGGUGUCGCCGUAACCGCGUAGGUCGGGAGCCACCGCCCGGUAGCCGCGGGAAGCCAUGAAAGGGAUCUGGUGGCGCCACGUGUACCACAACCCCGGGAAGCCGUGGAGGAAUAAGACUAACGGGCCAUCACCUUGUUCCGCAACGUGCAUGUUUAGCCCAUUAACACUUACCAUCUUGUGCUUUAUUCCCACCAUAUUUUGUUUCUGUAUGCCUGCCUCUCUUUUUUCUUAUAAGUUAAUUUGUGUAUAUAUAUAAUCUAUUCUAUUCUUGCUUGAUCUUGUGGGUACAAUUGGCUGCUUAUAUCUUUCUUAUAUAGGCACGGAGAUAUAAUUAUUUAUUGUUAUAAAUGAAAUAAAAUAAUGAAAAUUAAGGAGCUAGAAAAGUUGAUGCAAAAUUGCAUACAAUAAUGUAAACUUAUACCUUCCGAACUAAAGCCUUGACAAGUUCUCUACAAUUAAUCUAUAUGCAUAUUCAUUCACAUGUUUAGAACAUUGUUUUAAUAAAAGUACAUGUUUGGAUAAUAUCUAAAUUAAUAUUUUAGUCUUUUAUAUAAGGCUGAAAAAUGAGUAUACAAUUCGAGCUCAAUUCGUACUCGUUCGAUUAAAAGUUUAAUUCAAGUCCGACUCAAAAUAUAAAUGAUUUAAAUAUGAGCAAAUUUUAAAAUUCGAUAAAUUAAUCAAACCUUCUCAAAGUGCAAUUUUUUUAUUGAUACUCAGAUCAUAUUAGUUUCAAAAGUUCAAAUUGCUUGGAAUUAAUUUGAGAUCGUGUUCGACUCGGUAGCUAAACGAUUCUCAAUCAAACCUUAUUUCAUACUCAAUAAAUGUUGUAAAACAAAUCUGAGCAACUCUCAUUUACACCCUUACUUUUAUAUACGACAUUCUUAAAUUAAAUACAAUUUUCCCCUUUUUCCUAAUUCAAAAAGUAGAUUAAUUUUAAAUUAUAAAAUAAUAUUUAUAAUGAGAAUUAUUGUUGUUUGCAAAACAAAAAUUCAGUAAUAUCAACAAGAGUAUUUUAUCCAUAAAGUAAAAUACAUUGACACCUCCUGUAGAUAACCAUAUAUAAUAAUACUCAUCACCUUUUAAUUUAUCAAGUAACAGUCAGUACCUCUCUAGUUUAUAAUAUGUAACAUUCACUACUUUUAUUGUGGAAGAUCAACUAAUAUUCAAAUUUUUUUUAAUAUAAUAACUAAUAUACCCUUCAAGUUAUAAUUAAUGUUUAAUAUAUCCACUAAAUAUAAAUUUGUAUGUUAUAAUUUUUACUUAACUUGAUCUAAUUAAUUAAAUUAUAAAUUUGUGCAUUAAUAAAUAACAUAUUUCUCAAAAAAUAAUAAAUAUUUAUUUUAUCAAGAAAAUAAAAACAUACACUUUUUGGUAAUUAAAUUUCUUAACGAUUAAAUUUACGUAAUAUACAUUCAAAUAUAUUUUUUCUAAUUUAAAAAGUAAAAUUUUAAUAAGCAUAAAAGUAUAUAUUAAUGCAAAUAUAAUUAUUUUUCCCAAAUAUUAAAAUUUAUGUAAAAUAAACUUAUUAUUACAUAACGAAUCUUAUUAUUCAUAUAAAAAAGUAUUAAAAAUUAUAUUAAUUAUUUUCUCAAAUAUUAAACUAAACAUAAGUAUCUCUUAAGCAUAAAUAUUUACAAUAAAAAUGACAAAUGUUAUUACUCAAAAAAGAAAAAAUACAUUAAACAAAAUCUUUUAAUAAGAUAGAUGUAGUAAUAAAUAUUAUUAUAUUUUCUUUUAUUCAAUAUCGUAUAAAAAUAACACCAACUGUAUACUUAAAAAUGUAAUUAAAAUCAUAAACAUCCGAAAUUUUGACAUAUACUCAAGAAAUUUAACAUAUAAAAAUCAUAAUAUGAAACUAAUUAAGAAUUCAAAUAAUAAUUUUGUUGUUAAACACCAAAAACUAAACUAUCAACAUACUAAAUCACUUUGAUUAGAAAACUUCCAUUAAUAAUUUAAUUUAAAAUUCUUAAUAUUUGUAUCACUUAUCCAAAAAUAUGUGUUAAUUAAAUUAAAUUAUUUGAAUGAGAUAGUCUUAAGUACAAAUAAAACUAUAAUGAAAAUGUAUUGUAUUAAAUAAAGAUAAUUAAACAUAUAUAUAUAUAUAUAUGUUAUUUAGAAAUUAAAAUUUGAUAACAUACAAGAGUAAAUAUGUAAUUUUAUCUAUUUAGUCAACCCUAAAAACUUGAAAGGUACUAACUGUUACGUAAAAAACUAGAGAGGAAGUGAUUGUUAUUAUGAUUAUCUAGAAAAUGUAAUUAAAAUCAUAAACAUUCGAAAUUUUGACAUAUAAUCAAGAAAAUUUAACAUAUAAAAAUCAAACUAAUUAAGAAUUCAAAUAAUAACUUUUAUUGUUAAACACUAAAAACUAAACUAUCAACAUACUAAAUCACUUUGAUUAGAAAACUUCCAUUAAUGAUUUAAUUUAAAAUUCUUAAUUUUGUAUCACUUUUCCAAAAAUAUGUGUUAAUUAAAUUAAAUUAUUUGAAUGAGAUAGUCUUAAGUACAAAUAAAACUAUAAUAAAAAUGUAUUAUAUUAAAUAAGGAUAAUUAAACACACACACACACACAUAUAUAUAUAUAUAUAUAUAUAUAUAUAUAUAUUAUUCAGAAAUUAAAAUUUGAUAACAUACAAGAGUAAAUAUAGUAAAACCUCUAUUUAAGAAUGGACUUGGGACCAAACUAUUUAUAUUCUAAUUGAGAGGUUAUUACUAAAUAGAGGUAUUGGUGCAAAAUAUUUUCCGAACAUCCAAAAAUAUCCACUUUAACAAAAAUAUCAAUAAGAACUCUCGAAUAAUUAUUGUUCAAAAAAUAUUUAUGCAAAGUAGUCUUUUAUAGGAAAAUGUGAUCUUUUAUAGGAAAUGUAGUCUUUUAUAGAAAAAUGUAAUCCUUUAUAGGAAAUAUAGUCUUUUAUAGAAAAUUUAAUCUUUUAAAAUUAAUAUUGUCUCUCUCUCUCUCUCAUAUAUAUAUAUAUAUAUAUAUAUAUAUAUAUAUAUAUAUAAAAUUAUUACUAUAUAGAGAUAUAGUUUCUUAAUACGGAACUUAAAAAGUAUAUAACAUAUUACUCCACAAUUUAGAGGUUAUUCUUAUUUAUAACUGACCCAAAUUGCGACCAAAUUUUUUUAUAAUAUUGUAGAGGUUAUUCUUAUAUAGAGUAUUCAUAAAUAGAGUUUUACUGUAUGUAAUUUUAUCUAUUUAGUUAACCCUAUAAAAACUUGAAAGGUACUAACAAUUACGUUAAAAACUAGAAAAAAAAUACUUGUUAUUAUGAUUAUCUAGAAAGGAGGUCAUUAUAUUUUACUCUUAUCUAUAUGUACCAGAGUCGUUUUUAUACAAGUGAGAGAAAUCUUAUAAAAUUAUUAAAUUUUUAUGUGAAAAUGUCAAUUCCCUUUCUAACAAGUCUGUGUGUAUGUUUGAAAAAUAAUUUUUGAAAGUGACAUAUAAUCGUAUUUUCAAUUUUAAAGGAGUAAUUUUUAUAGCCACUUGCCAUGGCAUGGGCAUGCCGCGUCAUUCCCGCCUAAUAAUAAAUAUUUCCUUCCCUACAAGUCAGUGGCUGGCCACACAUACAUUCAACUACAAAAUAAAAUUAAUACGAUCAUCCUAAAAUGUGGAUGUUGGGUCACGAUAUUUUAUCUAUUUGGGCAUAAUGAAUUGAGUUCAUUUAUUUAAUUAGUUUAUUGGGCUUUCAUUAUUGAACCUUGAAAGUCAUUAGACCUAAUCACCAUAUUGUUUCUAUUGAUCUCUAUAAAAUCGGGUCGGUUCAUUAGACUAGCCCAUUAGAUCUUUUUAAUAUCUAUUACUUUGACUUGCAAUGAUGAAAAAGCAUGACAGUUGACUGAGACACCUGCCAUGCAUUAAUGUGGAUGAGAUUAUAGCCGGUCGGCGGCAUAAACAGUGACCAAAGGUAGUGGAUAGACUGCAUGCAGUCGGCAGAACCCACCAGAUCAGGGGGCUGUGUCAGUUAGUAGUAGGUGGCACGGUAAAUCGGACAAGAGAGUAUAACCUAUCAACCGAGGCUUCACAACCAGGUACGUUCACAUUCAUAUACGCAUACACACAACUGAGAAUAUCUCUCUCUCUCAAUACACUAGACAUUACAUCCUCUAUUGUUAACCUUGUGAACACGUAUACUGACUCUUACGCCUGAGCUAUCCCCCGACGGUCGAAGCCGUCAAGCUUGUGGUGUUUAUCGUGUUUACUGUACAGGAUCAGGACGUCUUACGUGAUUGAGACGUGACAGAAGAUCUUGGCAUUAACAGUGGAGAUCCCAACUACGUAUCAAUAUAAUUAGGCCUAAACGGUAAAUAUAACUAUUGGAUAAUAUUAAGGAGGAGUAUUAAAAUUAAGGAGCUAAAUUCUCUACAAUUAAUCUAAAGAUUAUAUUGACCACAUAGAUAUAUGCAUAUUAGUUCAUUCACAUUGUUUUUAUAAAACUACGUACAUGUUUGGUUAAUCUUUAAAUAUUUUAGUCUUUUAUAUACCGCAUUCUUAAAUUAAAUACAAAAUUUUCCUUUUAUCUCAUUCAAAAAAGUACAUUAAUUUUAAAUCUAAAAUAAUAUUAUAUAAUAAUGAAAAUUGUUGUUGUUUCAAAAGGAAAUUUUGGUAAUAUCCACAUGAUCUGGAGCCUAAUUUUUUAUAUAAGUGAGAGAAGUGUUGUAGAACUAUUUAAUUUUUAUGUUGAAAUGUCAAUUCCUUUUUAUCAAGUGUUGGGGGUUGGGGUUGGNNNNNNNNNNNNNNNNNNNNNNNNNNNNNNNNNNNNNNNNNNNNNNNNNNNNNNNNNNNNNNNNNNNNNNNNNNNNNNNNNNNNNNNNNNNNNNNNNNNNAUUAAAUUUGUAUGUUGAAAUGUCAAUUCCUUUUUAUCAAGUGUUGGUUGUAUGUUUGAAAAAAUAAUUUUUGAAAAUGACAUAUAAAUGUAUUUUCAAUUUUAAGGGAGUACUUUUUGUAGACACUUUCCAUGCAUAUGGGCAUGCCGUGUCAUUUUAUCCUUCCCUACAAGUCAUUUCAUUGGCCAGUGGCCGGCCACACAUCCAUUCAAUUACGUACUACUCACCUUCAUCUCGCUUAAUAUAAGGUGUUUUAUAAAAAUAUUUUUAUCCUUUAAUAAAAUAUAUUUUAAGUUAACAUUAAUUACUUAAUUUUUAAUAUCAUCCCAAUUAAGUAUUAAAUAUAAUUUUAGUUAUUUUAUUAUUUUUUAUUUAAUAAAUAACAUUUAUUUUUUUAAUAAAAAAAUAAUAUAGACAUCUAAUAUUAUAUUUAAUACUAUACAAUUAUUUUAUUAAUACUUAUGCACAACUUUAAAACAUCUUAAUUGGUGUUGUCUAUUCACUAUACGAAAUUUCGUCGGCAUAUAUUAAAAGACGAGGGGAGGGAGUAUAAAAUAAGGAUUCGGUUAACAUGAAUUUAUUUAUUUGGUAAGUUGGUCAAUUGGCCAAUAGAAUACUGACACACAUACAACCUCGUUUGCGUGUCAGUAUUCUAUUGAUUAAUUGACCAACUUACCCCAAAAUAAACUUCAUACUAACCACUUCUAUAAAAUAAAAUUACUAAUACGAUUGCUUGUCAAAUAAAAUAUCCUAAAACGUGGAGAUCCCAACAACCAAUAAAAUUAGACCUAGACCUGGUAAUUAACUGUCAAAUCUAACCAGAAUCAGGUGAGUUUGUUAAUUGCUUUAUAAGUAUUAUUUAGGUCACUCGUAUUUUUUUUUUCAUCCCGGAUUUAUUAUUUAUUCAUAAUCAAAAUUUAAACCCAGAUUAAUUAAAAUCACUACAUCGAUCUCUGCAACUCCCCCCAUGGAUGCUGCUCCAGUUGUAACCUCAAAUUAUUACAUUCUCAAUACUACAUGCAAUCUUCUCUCUUUCUCUCUCUCCUCUGAUCUCUAAAAUAUAAAUAUUAAUAUUAAUAUAAUUAACAAGUCUCCACACAUACAAAAACAUAUCCUUUAUAUCUUUUUAUAUAUAUAUAUAUAUAUUGCUAUUUUGUUACAUAUACUAGUCCAUUGGUCAAAUAUUUUAUGAUACAGACCACAAAAAAAAAUAUAAUUGCAAAGUUUGCUUGAAUAAUUAUGCAAAUCACGCUAAUAUUUAAAACUUUUGGUAGUCUGUCAUCUUUUUCAAAUUACUUACCUAUUAAGUCGGGUCAAGUAGUGCAUGAAUACUUAAUUUUUAGUUAAUUUUAUACAAAAAAAUACAUGUCAGAAAUAGUCUGCCACAUUUUGUCAAAAAAAGAGAAGAAAUAGUCUACCAUACGAUCAGUUUCAUGCGGUAACUAGAAAGUUUAGAGAGAGAAAGUGUAUAAAAAACUUUUAGAGCCGUAGUAUAUAUAUAAAAAAAAAUUAGAGAGAGAAAAUGUAUAUAAAAUAUUUAGAAAGAGCAAGUAUAUGAAAAAAAUCAGACUGUAUAAAUGGCUUAGAAAUACAAUGUAUUAGAAAAAUUGAAGAGAGAAAUUAAAUAAACAAAAGGUUAAUAAAUAAAUAUAUAACAUAUAUAGAAAUUGAAAUAUAGGUGGAUCUAUAUUAAACUCAUAAUUAUUUGAUUUAUUUAUAUAUAUUGACCUAUAUUUAUUAGUUAUAUAUAUAUAUAUAUAACUAAUUUAUACAUUUAAAAAUUAUACUUGCAUAAAUUUAAAAAUAUACACUAAAAUAAAUUAACAAAUUAUACUUAAGUUUAACAAAUUUAAACUUAAAAUAAAAAAUGUGAAGGAAAAUUUGUGAUUUUGUUAGGAGAAAGAAAGAAAGAAAGAAAGAAAAAGAAAAUUGAUAUUUUCACAAGCAAAAAUAAUAGUUUCAAAAGUUUUCUCUCGGACAUGCAUAAUAAAUGGACUUCACGUAUAUUUAUGUGAAUAAGAGUUUGUAGAAAUAUCAAAUUUUAUUUUUAAAAAUAUUAAACGUCUAUAUAAGUUUGCGCGGGUAUCCCAUUUUCAUAUAAAAUGAGAAAUUUGAAGGAUUUAUCGGAUCUUAGGUGGUACUCAAGGAUUCCACAUCAAUAUAUAUAUUGACAUAUAUAUAUAUAUAUAUAAAUAAUUUAUACGUUUAAGAAUUAUACUUGCAUAAAUUUAAAAAUAUACACUAAAAUAAAUUAACAAAUUAUACUUAAGUUUAACAAAUUUAAACUUAAAAUAAAAAACGUGAAGGAAAAUUCGUGAUUUUGUUAGGAGAAAAAAAAAGAAAAAAAAAAGAAAGAAAGAAAGAAAAAGGGAAUUGAUAUUUUCAAAGCAAAAAUGAUACUUUCACAAGUUUUCUCACAUGAAUAGUGAAUAGACCGCACGUACAUCCAUGUGAAUGAGAGUUUGUACGUAAAAAUAUCAAAUUUUACUUGUAAAAAUAUUAAACGUCUGAAUAGGUUUGCGCGGCUCUCCCAUUUUCAUAUAAAAUGAGAAAUGAAUUGAAGGAUUUAUCGGAUCUUAGGUGGUCCUGUAAUCUUCUUCAUAAGAGUGAUCACAGUGAGAUAUAGUGGGUUUUAGUGUAUUUCUUUUAUUUUAAUUGGCCAAUUGUCCAAAUCGGAAUCGACAUAAAAAUAUCUUCGCACAUAAUAGAAAAGAAAAAUCAAUUGUCUCCACAGAGCGGAUCGGAAAAUAUAUAUCAUACCAACAGGAUCACACUCUUUCCUUUACAAGAAUAGUACGUACUCAAGGAUUCCACAUCAAUAUAUAAUUGGAAUUUGGAGUGAAUUAUCAUAUACUACUAGUACGUACUUAUGAUGCAUGCAUUUCUUUAUACCAUUUGAGGUAGUAAUUGUUCCACCUGUCUUUACUUGUAUUUAUCUGAGAUUAUAUAUAUAUAUAUAUAGCCUAGAUAAAAAGAUAAUAUCACAAAAAAAAUAAAAAAAAAUAAAAACACCUUGAAUUCACAAAAAAAGAACACAAUUAUUUAUAUGUUGCAGUAGACACCGCUGAAAUACAACAAUAUAUGAUACAAGACAACCAAUUAUGCAACGAUUAAUAUCAAUACAACACAAACUAAUCGUUGGUUAAAUUAAUAGAAAUAAAUUCAACUAAAACAACGAUAUAUAGAUCUGUCUUAAUUGUUAUUGGAAAAUUAAAGCAAGAUUGAAAAAUGAAUUAGAAUUUCUGAAAGAAAUCGUAAAUGAUGUUGUUGAUCUCAUGGGGUCUUUCUUCAUUGAUAAAAUGGCCUGCACCUUCUAUUACAAUAACUUCCUCCAGCAAGGGCACAUCAUUCUUCAUUCCACCAUCAUGUAAAUACUCCUUCACACCAACGGUAUGAUAUUGCAAGUCUAUGUCUCCGAUAACAAAUUUUGUUGGUACUAUUACUUUAGCCCCACUCCAGGCUUUAGUAAGCUCCCAAAAUCUGCAUGCAAUUAAUCAAUCAUCAAAAAUUAAUUAAGCAAAAAUAACACAUGAAGACAUAUCCAAAUUACAAAAUGAAUAAUUAUUUAUAACUAACAACGUACGCAAAAUAUAGCUAUCUAUUAAAUAAUUAAGAAUAUUUUCAAAUAAGGUGAGUAGCUAGGUGUAUAUAUAUUUAAUAAUUAUGUACUCACAAAUCCAGGGAGCGAUAAUAAUUCAAUCCUCCGGUGAAGCCAGACUGCUCGAAUUUGGUUGUAUAAUAGUCGAGAUCUUCUUCUGUUAUCCAAGGCGGCAACACAACUGGAGCAUUGCUGUCUCCGAACCCUCCACCACCUUUGGGUAAGAAUAAUACCUCAGGACUAUGGUACGAUAGGAAUCUUCCCAUAGUUGUUCUUGUUCCCAGAGCUGCAAAUUCAGCUUCUAUAUCUCCUGGUUUCUGCAUUAGCAUGCAAGUAUGUAUAUGCAUGUGUAAGUAACUUUCAUUACUAUUGCCUUACUAUAUAUAUAUAUAGAGGGAGUGACCAUAUCAAAUACUUUAAUAUUAUUGGGUAAAUACUUUUCUGGUCAUGCGCAAAAAGAUGGUCCAAAUUCAAAUAAUUUAAUCUUUUUGUUACUAUUAGAUAGUAACCGAAAACAUUCUUUUUAAAUUCAAAAUUUUUAAUCCUUUUGUUACUGUUUAGAUUGUAGCCAAAAACAUUCAUUUUUAAAAAAAAUAUGGACAAAUAUUAUUUUGACAGUGUUAAGAAUGCUAUGAUAUAUUAUUAUCUAAUAAGCUAUUUAUCAGUACGUACCUGAAAUCUAACCAUGUAGUAAUCUUUACCAUAAGUAGCAAGGACAAAGUCAAGAUAACUACCCAAUGGACUCCAAGGAACAAACUGAACGCUAAAGUUAAUCAUGGCUAUGAUUCUGUCUGGCCUGAACAAAGCAAAGUACCAGGCCGUGAAUGCGCCAAAAUCAUGGCCCACCACAAACACCUUCUCCCCC